rnacentral:lncRNA from 1 species
CUGUUGUGGUUAUCUGAGUCUCUGAUCACAUCCAGGCAGGGAGGUCUCUCUGGUGCCUGACUGGAAGGAUGGCCUUCCCCAGCCCUUGCUGCUAGAGAACUGCAGGGAUCCAGGCAUCUUCCCUGUCCCUCAGCUGGUUUUGAGCCUCCUGUACCCACUCUCUGAUGCUGGAGCAACUGCUGAAGGAUGCGGCCGCAGGCGCCUGGGGCUGUCUCGCUAACAAGGAGCAGAUUCCUCAAAAGCCUGCGGAGGAGACGUAGGAUCUUCAAGCAAAUUCUGGCAGCUGGAUCCCGAUAGCAGGUGGUGGUCACAUACAUGGAGGGGUGUUGGGUGUAAAAGUGAAGUUGAGUUUGAACCAUUUAGGCUCAAGCUGAUAAACUCAUAAAUAUGUGGGGAUUCUGUUUGUUUUUUA